GGUUCAUUAUGGUAAAACCGAUCCUGGAUCAGUUAACGACUGCACGACCAGUUCAGACUUCCUAUCACGUGGUGCAGUAGCUUCCUUUCUUCUCAGAACCAAGGAAAGAGAAUACUUCGCAAAAUGGAGGGUCAUGAACAUAGGGAGCCUGAACAGCUCAGGAAGCUGUUCAUUGGGGGCCUAAGUUUUGAAACCACUGAGGAAAGUUUAAGGAUCCAUUUUGAACAAUGGGGAAACCUCACAGACAGUGUGGUAAUGCGGGACCCAAACAACAAGCGCUCGAGAGGGUUUGGCUUUGUAACAUACUCCUGUGUGGAGGAGGUGGAUGCCUGCAUGGCAGCUCGCCCUCAUAAGGUGGACGGACGUGUUGUUGAACCUAAAAGGGCUGUAUCGAGAGAGGACUCUAACAGACCGGGUGCCCACCUGACGGUGAAGAAGAUAUUUGUUGGGGGGAUCAAGGAGGACACACGGGAGGACCAUAUCAGGGAGUACUUUGAGACCUACGGGAGGAUCGAGACCAUUGACAUUAUGGAGGAACGCGCAACUGGGAAAAAGAGGGGAUUCUGCUUUGUCUCAUUUGAUGACAAUGACACUGUGGAUAAAAUUGUUGCUCAGAAAUACCACACAAUAAACAGCCACAAUUGCGAAGUCAGAAAAGCCCUCCCAAAACAGGAAAUGGAGGCGUCCAAUCAGAGGAAUAGGGGUGGUGGCUCUGGAAACUUCAUGGGCAGAGGUGGUAACUCUGGUGGUGGCAACUUUGGGCAAGGAGGCUACGGUGGCGGAAGAGGAGGGGAUGGAUACAAUGGAUACGGUGGAGAGGGUGGAAACUACAGUGGGGGACCUGGCUACAGAGGUGGACGUGGUGGCGGGUAUGGGGGAGGAAGUCCUGGGUAUGGUAACCAGGGAGGAGGCUUUGGAGGAGGAUAUGAUAACUACAAUGACAGAGGCAACUUUAGAGGGAACUUUGGUGGUGGAAGGGGUGGAAAUUACAAUGACUUUGGCAACUACGGAGGACCGCAAUCUAGCUAUGGUCCUAUGAAGGGGAACAACUUUGGUGGCAGAAACUCUGGUGGUGGCCCCUAUGGAGGUGGCUACGGCUCAGGCGGUGGAAGUGGGCAUGGCUACGGCUCACAGCGAUAUUGAUACUAUGACGCUCGGGUAAGUUCCGUUUGAAAACACUGAGCAUACCUGACUGUAUAGUACAGUGUGAGCCCACGCAACACUAGAAUAACUAUUUGUUUUAUCCUGUAUCCAUUCAACAGGCUUCAGUUCUUAGCAGGAGAGGAGAUGAGCAAGGAUUUGUCAGGAAAGCUGCAGGUUACUGUACUUUUAGGCAGUCGUCUGAAAGCAUGUAGAGGAACAGAAGUCAGAAAGUUAUUGCAGCUUUAAUGGGAAACUAAUCCUAAGAAAGACUGUACACACAAACUAUAAAGUGCAAGGGUGUAGCUAGUACCUUAUUUGUGGUAGAUGUUCCCCCACUUUAUAAUUGUUCCUUUUGUGCAUCUGAAGUGUAUGUAUUGUUGUGCCUGUGGAAUCAGGAGUUAAAAAAUAAAUAAAAAAGUAUUUCGAACUCCAGUCAGUUUUGAAUAGUCCUACAUUUAUUUUGUUGUAGAUUGAUAGAUUUUCUAUGGUCUUCUCAUCUUUGUCGUUUUUGAAGAACUUGGUCCUGUCAGAAGGGCCUAUACGCAUCAGGCCCUCAAAUAAGCUAGAGCUGUCUUUUUUUCUUUUGAAGUUAAUAUGAUUGCAAGUCUUUGUAUCAAGUGUAUUAUGAUCUGUAUUUCAAGAACCCCAUGUAUUUUAUUAGUGACAAGUGGUUAUAAGUAGUGCAGACAACAAUUUUAAGGAAAUGUGUUUUACACUACUUGUAUGCAGUAAACAGAAUUCUAGAUUGUAAAAAAUAUUUUGACAAGUGGAAAAAAGUUUAAUAAAGUUGUGUAGUAAAGUCUUUUGAAGUAUAGUGCAUCAUUGGCUCAGAGAGAUUGAAGGAUUUGAUUCUUGUCAUGUCCGUCAUCACUAAUCAAGUGUAGCAAAUCAAUAUCCUCAGAAGUAUGUUUUGUUUUCUCUGAACUUUGAAAGAUUCAUUUUUUCCCCUGCCUGGAUGGAAAGGGAGUCUUGGCUAGUCCUAGGGCGAGGGACACGCAUCGCCUAGCCAGGAUUGCACUAGUAGGAUUGUUACAGCUACAAGCCACUUCAGUUGGGCCUCAGCGGGUCAGUAUGGAAGAUUGCAGAGUGUUUUUUCAGACAGGACCUCUUCGGUCCCAGCACAGUGGACAUGUCAGCAUGUUGUGAGAAAAAAGAGAAGGCAGCACCGAGAGCCACACCCUUGGAGGAAAGCAUAUUCUAGCAAAAAAAGUAACUAGAGUUCCUGGACACUUAGAGAUCCUGUUGAGUUAGAUAUGGCAGUUUACCAGGAAGUUCUUACUAGCUUUCAGACCUUACAGGGGAAAGGGAAGUGAGUAUUUCACAAGCAGUGGUAACAUAAAGAAGAUGCAGGUAAGAGUAACCACUUUGCUUGGUUUACAGAUCGUGAAAGAAGCAUUACGACUACUCUUAAAGGCUGAAAAUCUAAUGACACGAUUACAUGGACAUUUCUGGAUGGCCUCAAAGCCUCCGAAAAGAUUGGUUUGAGAGAGGGCGGAGAAAGAAGGCUUGGCGUUCAAAGGUAAUGUAUGUGGGUGAAAGGGCCUGGAACUGCAAAUACUACAAUGUGCAGUGCUGUGCUUUUUUCCAACGUGUUUGUUCACUGGACCUUUUUGAAGUCGUCAUGCAUGGUUCACAUGAAGUGUAGCUGAAUAAUGGAGGUAACUGUUAUAGACCUGAAUAAAUGCAGUUGGAACCAGAGCCGUACAAUGCAUUCAUAAAGUAUUCAGACCCCUUCACUUUAUCCACAUUUUGAUACGUGACAGCCUUACUCUAAAAUUCAUUAAAUUGCCCCCCCCCCCUAAUUUACACGCAAUACCCCAUAAUGACAAAGCUAAAACAGGUUAAGACAUUUUUGCAAAUGUAUUUUAAAAAAAACGUAUCACAUUUACAUAAGUAUUCAGACCCUUUACUCUGUACUUUGUUGAAGCACCUUUGGCAACGAUUACACCCUCGAGUUUCUCCCAUUCUUUGCAGAUCCUUAAGCUCUGUCAGGUUGGAUGAGGAGUGACGCGGCACAGAUAUUUUCAGGUCUCUCCAGAGAUGUUCGAUCAGGUUCAAAUCCGGGCUCUGGCUGGGCCACUCAAGGACAUUCAGAGACUUGCCAAAGCCACUCCUGUGUUGUCUUGACUGUGUUCUUAGGGUCUUUGUCCUAUUGGAAGGUGAACCUCUGCCCUAGUCUGAAGUCCUGAGCACUCUGGAGCAGGUUUUCAACAAGUAUCUCUUUUUACUUUGCUCCGUUCAUCUUUCCCCCGAUCCGGACUAGUCUCCCAGUCCCUGCCUCUGAAAAACAUCCCCACAGCAUGAUGCUGCCUCAACCAUGCUUCACCGUAGGGAUGGUAUUGGCCAGGUGAUGAGCGGUGCCUGGUUUCCUCCAGAUGUAACGCUUGACAUUCAGGCCAUAAGUUCAAUCUUGGUUUCAUCAGACCAAAGAAUCUUGUUUCCAUCGUCUGAGAGCCUUUAGGCGUCUUUUGGCAAACUCCAAGCGGGCUGUCGUGCCUUUUUACUGAGGAGUGGCUUCUGUCUGGCCACUCUAUAAAGGUGGAGUGCUGCAGAGAUAGUUGUCCUUCUGGAAGGUUCUCCCAUUUCCACAGAGGAACUGUGGUGCUCUGACAGUGACAAUUGGAUUCUUGGUCACCUCCCUGAGCAAGGCCCUUCUCCCCCGAUUGCUCAGUUUGACUGGGCGUGCCAGCUCUAGGAAGAGUCUUGGUGGUUCCAAAAUUCUUCCAUUUAAGAAUGGAGGCCACUGUGUUCUUGGGGAUCUUCAACAUUGCAGAAACGUUUUGAUACCCUUCUCCAGAUGUGUGCCCGACAUUAUCCUGUCUCUGAGGCAAUUCCUUCGACCCCAUGGCUUGGUUUUUGCUCUGACGUGCACUGUCAACUGUGAGACCUUAUAUAGAUAGGUGUGUGUCUUUGCAAAUCAUGUCCAAUCAAUUAAAUUUACCACAGGUGGACUCCAAUCAUGUUGUAGAAACAGUUCAAGGAUGAUCAAUGGAAACAGGAUGCACCUGAGCUCAUUUUCGAGUCUCAUAGCAAAUGGUCUGAAUAUUUUCGUAAAUCCGGUAUUUCUGUUUUUUAUACAUUUGCAAACAUUUCUAAAAACCUGUUUUCACAUUGUCAUUGUGGGGUUUGGGUGUAGAUUGAUGGGGGUGAUAGAAUAACGCUGUAACGUAACAAUGUGGAAAAGGGGAAGGGGUCUGAAUACUUUCCGAAUGCACUGUAUAUUUAGUUAGGACUACUUGUAUAAUAUUAUUCAAAUUCUAGACAUUCAGUUACAUAGCAUUGUUUAAAUUCUCCCCAAUGUUAAUGGGGCGCUAGCAUGGCUGUAAUAGAAUGUUGAAGUGUCAUGUCUGGUUGGGAACUAUGUUUUAUUUAAGUGUUUUAGCUUUCACAAAAUAUUUUUAUAGAUUUUAAAAGAUUCAGUUCAUAAUAUUCAAAACUAAGUUUAAUGUACAUCAUGGGCUUUCUGUUUUGUGGACAAUAAACAAGACUAUUGAAAAAAAAACGAAGGUCUAACAUAGAUUAACCCAAUAGCUGUUUUGAUUACAAUGUGAAUGGCAUUUGAAUCCGUGUAAACCGUUUUGAUUUGUUCUGUUUUGAAAAACACAUAGUUAUGCAAAUCCCAGUCAGCAAAGUCAUUAUGUUCAUCUGGCAUACAUUGUUGCAUACUAUCAAAUCCAACUUUAUUUAUAUAGCAACAUUCUUACAAAUGCUUUUCAAAGUGCUUAAAUAAAAUUAAAGGUGGAAAGAUCAAACGUUUCUAUGCAAAUAUAAAAUCAAGAUAGACAUUAAGAGUAAAAUAGCAGUGGAUAGGAAAUUGAAUGCAGAAAAAGUGGAUAAAAGUUCCUAAUAUUGGUAAGACAAAUAAAAGCACUUUAGUUAAUAGCACGGAUAAAAUGGUAUGUCUUAAGACAAAUCUUAAGAAUCAACAGUUUGAGGACCUAAGAUCCGGCAGGCCAUUCCAAAGACCAGGACCGUAGUGUCUGAAGGCAGCCUCACCAAAAGUUUUGGUUCUGACAUUUGGAAUGACUAAAAGACCAGUGCCAGAAGAUAUAUCAGACAUUAAAAGCAUAUCAGACAUGUAUUCGGGUGCAAGGCCAUGUAGUGCUUUAUAAAUCAAUAUAGAUUGUGUUUAGGCUGAUAUAAAACUGACAAAA